AUUGAACGCUGGCGGCAUGCUUUACACAUGCAAGUCGAACGGUAACAGGUUAAGCUGACGAGUGGCGAACGGGUGAGUAAUGCAUCGGAACGUGCCCGGUCGUGGGGGAUAACGCAGCGAAAGCUGCGCUAAUACCGCAUACGAUCUGAGGAUGAAAGCGGGGGACCGUAAGGCCUCGCGCGAUCGGAGCGGCCGAUGUCAGAUUAGGUAGUUGGUGGGGUAAAGGCUCACCAAGCCAACGAUCUGUAGCUGGUCUGAGAGGACGACCAGCCACACUGGGACUGAGAAAUGGCCCAGACUCCUACGGGAGGCAGCAGUGGGGAAUUUUGGACAAUGGGCGAAAGCCUGAUCCAGCAAUGCCGUGUGCAGGAAGAAGGCCUUCGGGUUGUAAACUGCUUUUGUACGGAGCGAAAAGGUCUCCUCUAAUACAGGGGGCUCAUGACGGUACCGUAAGAAUAAGCACCGGCUAACUACGUGCCAGCCGCCGCGGUAA
rnacentral:rRNA from 1 species